GAGGCCCCCGUAAUUGGAAUGACUACAAUUUAAAUCCUUUAAGAAGGAUCCAUUGGAGGGCAAGUCUGGUGCCAGCAGCCGCGGUAAUUCCAGCUCCAAUAGCGUAUAUUAAAGUUGCUGCAGUUAAAAAGCUCGUAGUUGGAUCUCAGUUACAGGCAGGUGGUUCACUUUACAGUGUUACUACCUGAACUGAACCUAUUGCUGGAUCUCAUGGGUGCCCUUCACUGGGUGCCCAUUGAGGACAGACGUUUUACUUUGAGAAAAUUAGAGUGCUCAAAGCAGGCGAAUGCCUGAAUAGUUGUGCAUGGAAUAAUGAAAUAUGGCCUCGGUGUUGUUUUGUUGGUUCACGAUGCUCGAGGUAAUGGUUGAAAGGGACUGACGGGGGCAUUCGUAUUGCGACGUUAGAGGUGAAAUUCUUAGAUCGUCGCAAGACGGACUACUGCGAAAGCAUUUGCCAAGAAUGUCUUCAUUAAUCAAGAACGAAAGUCAGAGGUUCGAAGGCGAUCAGAUACCGCCCUAGUUCUGACCUUAAACGAUGCUAACUGGCGAUCCAGGAGGGGUAUUUAAAUGACCCUCUGGGCAGCUUCUGGGAAACCAAAGUUUUUGGGUUCCGGGGGAAGUAUGGUUGCAAAGCUGGAACUUAAAGGAAUUGACGGAAGGGCACCACCAGGAGUGGAGCCUGUGGCUUAAUUUGACUCAACACGGGAA
rnacentral:rRNA from 1 species